UCCAAGUGAAUGAAUCAGCAGCCGACAGCUGUGAUGUAUAUUCUGCCUGCUAUUACAACCUAAGUGCUGAAACACACUACCCGGCUUUUGCCGGCCGGGAAAAAGCCGGACGGCUUUUUCCCGUGCCGGCAUUGUAGUUAACAGUGUGAGGGGUAGGGUCCCUUCACACUGCACGGCCCCGGCCCGGCUGCCGGGUUGCAGCCGGGUCUCACCACUGGAAGGUCCGGCGGCCGGGCGGCCGCCGGGCCGUCUUUGGAGCCAGUAAACCAUGUGUGUGAAGGGGAGCUUUCACACACAAUGGUUUUUUCUGAAGCCGUGUCUGAUGCUGCGCAUGCGCGCAGCAUCACACACGGCUCAAAGCCGUCCUGUGUGAUAGACACUGCCGGUUUCUCCCGGAUGGCAAAAAGCCGGACAAAGAUGUGUGUAAUAUUACAGCGCUUUUCUGCUGCUGCUCCCGUGCAUUGCGCAUGACAGAGCAAACAAUGACAAACAAUUGUCAUGAAACAUGAAGGUAGAUAAGCAGCAUUGACUACUGGAGUAACAUGGACAUAAAAUGUGAUGUAAUAAUAAGAACAGAGUAGGGAGAUGACUGCUUCCCUUCACGGCCACUAGACUGCGCCUCAUAUUGGUCAUACUGUCCCAACACCAGUUGUAAGAUGGAGGGUCUGAUGGAAACAUGCAUCCGAUGCUACCCGUCAGAAACGCCCAGUGGUCCACUGCCGGAAGAUGAUCUUCCUGCAUCCUCUGGCUCCUCCCCCACUGUGUUCCAAUCACUGCUGUUUGCACUUGAUGGGCAACUGGCGGCACUCCACCACACAGGGAAUGCCAGGAGAAGCAACCAUCGGGGAAAAGUUCAAAUACAGCGCCGCUACUUACCCAGUGUGAACACCCAGCAGCUGCACAGAGAAACAGCUGCCGGUAAAUCAUUCCAGCACUGGCUACCCGCCCCCGUCAGUGGGGACAUAUAAACAGAGUGAAGCCUCUGCAUUCCACUGCAUUCGCCGAUAAAGGUUGUUGAUCUUUUGAACCUCUCUGCAAUUGUCUAAAUUUAGGUAAUUAUAUAUUUAUACAAAAUUUUGUACCUCUCUGUAAUUAUCUCAAUUGUUCCCCUUGUAUUCAUAUAAUCUUGUAUAUUCUAUGCAUACGUAUGGCACCCUGGAACCCUUGUGACACCUUAUAUAUAAAAGAUAAUUAUGCAAGGGUUGUUUAAUAAGGUAACAAGACCUCUCACAUGUGUAAUGUUCUCUAUUUUAGUCUAAUUUUGACCCCCAGUCCAGAGCAGGUAGGCCACUGUUUCCCCUCAUUAGACUGCACCUCAUGUUGGUCAUACUGUCCCAAAAUUAGUUGUAAGAUUGCGGGGCUGAUGGAAACAUGGUCAAACAUUGAGGUGCAUAGUGUGAUCAGAUUUGUAGGCGUAAGGGGCACAUCAGUAGCUGAAAUUCAUUGCCAACUUGUCAAAGUGUACGGUGAUAAAUUAACGUCAUGUCACGGAAACAGGUUUGGGUUUGGUGCACUGCCUUUGAUAACUGCAGGACAGAUAGUCAAGAUGAGCAGCAAUCCGACUGGUCAAGCACGUCCACCACAGAUGACAAUUUUUGCCACAUUGAAGGUCUGAUUCAGGAGGACAAACAUAUAUCAGUUAGUGGGUAGACCGCAAUUCACAACCAACAGUGAAGUUCAGCAAUCCAUGAUGUCCUGGCUUCAAGCUUUUGACACUGAUUUCUUCUAUGCAGAAUAGAUGCCUUGGUGUACCGUUGUGGAACAAAUGCUUAGACAAGUAUGGGGACUAUGUGUAAAAAUAAUCUGUACCAAGGCCAUACUAUUGAUUACAUUUAUACGAGUUAUAUACAUUUAUGCAAAGAGAGGUCUUGUUACCUUAUUUAUUGAACCACCCUUGUUUCUCAACAUGUGAAGAGAUAGUCCCACAAAUCAUAAAGUGGGGACAUAAAAACAGAGCAUCGCCUCUGCCUUCCACUGCAU